rnacentral:lncRNA from 1 species
GGGCUCCAUAUCUGGGCAACAAGCCUCCAUAUUCAAGUUGCAUUUAACUUAAUGAUGGAUGAUCUAACACCAUUAUUCAGAAGAACAGUGGAUGCUAAUUAUGCAGCUCAGCCAAGAAGACAACUUCUUAUCCAAGAUCUUGACCAAAUCACUACAAAAGGCUGUCCAAGAGAGAAUAGAACUAAGAGCGGAUUGGAGAAGAAGUCAAAGAAAAAUAUGAACAAAAAUUUUACUAACAAAUGUUUUGAACAAAACCAAAAAAGACCUACAAAAAGAUAAAGAAACGU